rnacentral:rRNA from 1 species
GAUGAACGCUGGCGGCGUGCUUAACACAUGCAAGUCGAACGAAGCAUUUAGGACAGAUUACUUCGGUUUGAAGUUCUUUAUGACUGAGUGGCGGACGGGUGAGUAACGCGUGGGUAACCUGCCUUGUACUGGGGGAUAGCAGCUGGAAACGGCUGGUAAUACCGCAUAAGCGCACAAUGUUGCAUGACAUGGUGUGAAAAACUCCGGUGGUAUAAGAUGGACCCGCGUCUGAUUAGCUAGUUGGUGAGAUAACAGCCCACCAAGGCGACGAUCAGUAGCCGACCUGAGAGGGUGACCGGCCACAUUGGGACUGAGACACGGCCCAGACUCCUACGGGAGGCAGCAGUGGGGAAUAUUGCACAAUGGAGGAAACUCUGAUGCAGCGACGCCGCGUGAGUGAAGAAGUAAUGCGUUAUGUAAAGCUCUAUCAGCAGGGAAGAUAGUGACGGUACCUGACUAAGAAGCUCCGGCUAAAUACGUG